rnacentral:ncRNA from 1 species
CAGCAGGGGAGCUUGUGUUACAGGCUGAGAGGAAGGUAAUACCUUCGACCCAUUGACCUGAUUUGGAUAAUGCCAACGUAGGGAUGC